rnacentral:rRNA from 1 species
GCAGGUUCUCCUACGGCUACCUUGUUACGACUUCACCCCAAUCAUCUGUCCCACCUUAGACGGCUGGCUCCUUGCGGUUACCCCACCGGCUUUGGGUGUUACAAACUCUCAUGGUGUGACGGGCGGUGUGUACAAGGCCCGGGAACGUAUUCACCGCGACAUGCUGAUUCGCGAUUACUAGCGAUUCCGACUUCAUGUAGGCGAGUUGCAGCCUACAAUCCGAACUGAGAACGGCUUUAAGAGAUUAGCUAAACCUCGCGGUCUCGCGACUCGUUGUACCGUCCAUUGUAGCACGUGUGUAGCCCAGGUCAUAAGGGGCAUGAUGACUUGACGUCGUCCCCACCUUCCUCCGGUUUGUCACCGGCAGUCUCGCCAGAGUGCCCAACUUAAUGCUGGCAACUGACAACAAGGGUUGCGCUCGUUGCGGGACUUAACCCAACAUCUCACGACACGAGCUGACGACAGCCAUGCACCACCUGUCACUUUGUCCCCGAAGGGAAAGCCUAAUCUCUUAGGUGGUCAAAGGAUGUCAAGACCUGGUAAGGUUCUUCGCGUUGCUUCGAAUUAAACCACAUGCUCCACCGCUUGUGCGGGCCCCCGUCAAUUCCUUUGAGUUUCAACCUUGCGGUCGUACUCCCCAGGCGGAAUGCUUAUUGCGUUAGCUGCGGCACUGAAGGGCGGAAACCCUCCAACACCUAGCAUUCAUCGUUUACGGCGUGGACUAUCAGGGUAUCUAAUCCUGUUUGCUACCCACGCUUUCGAACCUCAGCGUCAGUUACAGACCAGAGAGCCGCUUUCGCCACUGGUGUUCUUCCAUAUAUCUACGCAUUUCACCGCUACACAUGGAGUUCCACUCUCCUCUUCUGCACUCAAGUCUUCCAGUUUCCAAUGCACUACUCCGGUUAAGCCGAAGGCUUUCACAUCAGACUUAAAAGACCGCCUGCGUUCCCUUUACGCCCAAUAAAUCCGGACAACGCUUGCCACCUACGUAUUACCGCGGCUGCUGGCACGUAGUUAGCCGUGACUUGCUGGUUAGAUACCGUCAUCGAAUGAACAGUUACUCUCACUCGUGUUCUUCUCUAACAACAGAGUUUUACGAUCCGAAGACCUUCUUCACUCACGCGGCGUUGCUCCAUCAGACUUGCGUCCAUUGUGGAAGAUUCCCUACUGCUGCCUCCCGUAGGAGUUUGGGCCGUGUCUCAGUCCCAAUGUGGCCGAUCAACCUCUCAGUUCGGCUACGUAUCAUCACCUUGGUAGGCCGUUACCCCACCAACUAGUUAAUACGCCGCGGGUCCAUCUAAAAGCGAUAGCAGAACCAUCUUUCAUCUAAGGAUCAUGCGAUCCUUAGAGAUAUACGGUAUUAGCACCUGUUUCCAAGUGUUAUCCCCUUCUUUUAGGCAGGUUACCCACGUGUUACUCACCCGUCCGCCACUCAACUUCUUACGGUGAAUGCAAGCAUUCGGUGUAAGAAAGUUUCGUUCGACUUGCAUGUAUUAGGCACGCCGCCAGCGUUCGUC